rnacentral:rRNA from 1 species
UGGGGAAUUUUCCGCAAUGGGCGAAAGCCUGACGGAGCAAUGCCGCGUGGAGGUAGAAGGCCCACGGGUCGUGAACUUCUUUUCUCGGAGAAGAAGCAAUGACGUGAGGAAUAAGCAUCGGCUAACUCUGUGCCCG